rnacentral:rRNA from 1 species
AAAGCGUGCGCAGGCGGUUAUAUAAGACAGAUGUGAAAUCCCCGGGCUCAACCUGGGAACUGCAUUUGUGACUGUAUAGCUAGAGUACGGUAGAGGGGGAUGGAAUUCCGCGUGUAGCAGUGAAAUGCGUAGAUAUGCGGAGGAACACCGAUGGCGAAGGCAAUCCCCUGGACCUGUACUGACGCUCAUGCACGAAAGCGUGGGGAGCAAACAGGAUUAGAUACCCGGGU